UACGUAGGGUGCGAGCGUUGUCCGGAAUUAUUGGGCGUAAAGAGCUCGUAGGCGGUUUGUCGCGUCUGCUGUGAAAACCUAAGGCUCAACCUUGGGCUUGCAGUGGGUACGGGCAGACUAGAGUGCGGUAGGGGUGACUGGAAUUCCUGGUGUAGCGGUGGGAUGCGCAGAUAUCAGGAGGAACACCGAUGGCGAAGGCAGGUCACUGGGCCGCAACUGACGCUGAGGAGCGGAAGCAUGGGGAGCGAACAGG
rnacentral:rRNA from 1 species